UCAAAUGCAAUGAAGGUGUCAGUAAAUCUUUAUUUUCUUCCAGAGAGAAGGGGCCAUCGGCUGCAAGCCCUUUUAAGUUCAGAUAAGAGAUUGAAUUUCCCACCGAAGCAGCAUGAUUGAAACCAGGAGACAGUUUUGAUGCCGGUCUGGCGGGUAAGUCAUGACGUCUUUACACGUUACGUAUACCGAGUGCCUGUGUCAUACACAGGAAUUAGGGUGGUACCGCGAAUAUAGCUUCGUCCCUUUA
rnacentral:ncRNA from 1 species